rnacentral:rRNA from 1 species
UACAGAGGUCCCAAGCGUUGUUCGGAUUCACUGGGCGUAAAGGGUGCGUAGGUGGUGAGGUAAGUCGGAUGUGAAAUCUCCGAGCUCAACUCGGGAAUGGCAUUGGAAACUACCUUGCUCGAGGGUUGGAGGGGGGACUGGAAUACUUGGUGUAGCAGUGAAAUGCGUAGAUAUCAAGUGGAACACCAGUGGCGAAGGCGAGUCCCUGGACAACUCCUGACACUGAGGCACGAAAGCUAGGGGAGCAAACAGG